rnacentral:rRNA from 1 species
UACAGAGGGGGCAAGCGUUAUUCGGAAUUACUGGGCGUAAAGGGCGCGUAGGCGGCCUUCUAAGUCGAACGUGAAAUCCCCGGGCUCAACCCGGGAACUGCGUCCGAUACUGGAAGGCUUGAAUCCGGGAGAGGGAUGCGGAAUUCCAGGUGUAGCGGUGAAAUGCGUAGAUAUCUGGAGGAACACCAAUUGCGAAGGCAGCUCGCUGGGACGUUACUGACGCUGAGACGCGAAAGCGUGGGGAGCAAACAGG